rnacentral:piRNA from 1 species
UGCUGAGCUGAAAAGGAAAUGGAUUC